rnacentral:lncRNA from 1 species
UAAAGUAUAUAACGUAAUAUCUCCUUAACUAUUAUAAUUAAUUUUGCUACCUACAGCAUGUUGAGAGCAUGUGACUAUGGAUCUCAUUACACAUUUAUUGCAAACACCUCAUAAUCAUACCUUACUCGUUAUCUUUGUGAAUCAACUCUUGAAGCAACUUCACUUAGCUAAAAUGCACUUAAAUAUACAUGCUUCAAUGCUUAUACAAGUCUUCUUUGAU